rnacentral:rRNA from 1 species
AACGAACGCUGGCGGCAUGCCUAACACAUGCAAGUCGAACGAGAUCUUCGGGUCUAGUGGCGCACGGGUGCGUAACGCGUGGGAAUCUGCCCUUUGGUUCGGAAUAACAGUUGGAAACGACUGCUAAUACCGGAUGAUGACGAAAGUCCAAAGAUUUAUCGCCAGAGGAUGAGCCCGCGUAGGAUUAGCUAGUUGGUGUGGUAAAGGCGCACCAAGGCGACGAUCCUUAGCUGGUCUGAGAGGAUGAUCAGCCACACUGGGACUGGGACACGGCCCAGACUCCUACGGGAGGCAGCAGUGGGGAAUAUUGGACAAUGGGCGAAAGCCUGAUCCAGCAAUGCCGCGUGAGUGAUGAAGGCCUUAGGGUUGUAAAGCUCUUUUACCCGGGAUGAUAAUGACAGUACCGGGAGAAUAAGCUCCGGCUAACUCCGUGCCGGCCGCCGCGGUAA